rnacentral:rRNA from 1 species
ACGUAGGUAGCGAGCGUUAUCCGGAAUUAUUGGGCGUAAAGGGUGCGUAGGCGGCUUGUUAAGUUUAAGGUGAAAGAGUGGGGCUCAACCCCAUAGAGCCUUAGAUACUGGCAAGCUAGAGUACUGGAGAGGGUAGUGGAAUUCCAUGUGUAGCGGUAAAAUGCGUAGAUAUAUGGAGGAACACCGGUGGCGAAGGCGGCUACCUAGACAGAGACUGACGCUGAUGCACGAAAGCGUGGGGAGCAAAUAG